rnacentral:lncRNA from 1 species
UUGGAUCCGCGCGGUGUUGAUGCCUUCAGCAUCCCGGCGCCUCGGAGGUCUACUCUGGAAUCUACUUGGCUUUUUUUCCCCUUCUUAGUCCCUCCCUCCCUCCCUCCCUCCCUCACCUCCACGCCUGGCUUCCUUGGCUAGCUAUCUCUGCGCUCUUUACCCUUUGCUGGCAACAGAUAAAAGGGGUCUGAGGAAAUACUGAGCACGGUCAUCCCAUCGCCUGCUCUACCCUUUAAAUUCCCAGCCCAGGGAGAUCUACGCACAGCCAGACCGGGCUGAACACCCAUCCGGUGAGACAGGAGGGCAGGUUUCCAAGCGCCGCUCCGCCACACUUGAUCUCAGCGCUGGGAAAGUGAAGCGAGCAACCGACAGCCACGAUGCCGGCCCACAUGCUCCAAGAGAUCUCCAGUUCCUACACGACCACCACUACCAUCACAGAGCCUCCUUCCGGAAACCUGCAGAAUGGACGAGAGAAGAUGAAGAAGGUGCCCCUCUAUCUGGAAGAAGACAUCCGUCCU